ACAGGCGCGUGCUAACGCUAAAAACUUUGCUCAAAUUAAUUUAGCCACGAGUGUUAAGGGCGGUAUCACGUGAUAGGUCCAAUAUCGUUAAUUGUUUGCUGAUAAUGAGGUAUGUGGAGUACAACAAUACAUUGUCGAUAAACUGAUCGAGUAUCGUGAUAUAAGCUUCAUUUGCUGAGAGCUCCCAAGUCGUUAAGGACAGCACCGAUUAUCCCAAAGAAAUACAGCCAUGGCACCCGAACCUACCACAGAGCCAGAAAAAGCCUACGGGGAGCCUGAGGGCGAGAGCGAGCCGAAAACCAUCAUGCCAGAGAUGAUGACCAAUCAGGAGGCUUUCUUGAUGUACGGUAUCUUCAUCUUCGCUCUGGCAGUCUUCUGUGUUGUGCUGCUGGUUCUGUACAUCAUCAUGAAGAAACAGGUUCGUGACCUAACCCAGAAAAUGGGAUAUGGACAGGGCCAUAUGCAGAUGGGCUUAGCUGAGAAGAAAGGUUAUGUUGCUUGAGGAUGACUAGUCGAAACAACACGAAUUGGCUGUUUUGAUUUCAUCUUAAUAUUUCUCUGUAUAUAUAACAUUUACUGGGCCUGUUCUUGGAUCUUGCUCAUACUGUACAUGACCACAACAUCUUAAACAGUUUCGUUGGCGAUCAUUAUAUGAAGAGCUCCUUGCAAAAAGAACGAUAAACAAAUAGUCAAAUAGUUGCCUUCAAUUUGGACCAAUUUGACCCUUUAUAUUGAUAUGAGAUGUGAUAUGCUUCUAGUUUAUCACCUCUGAUCAUGUCAACUUAUUAUACCCAUGCAUCCUUGUCAAAAAAAUAAGAAGAAAAUAGAUGACUGAAUAAAUUAAAUAAAUAAAUAAAUAAAAGAGCGAAAGUGUGA